UACGUAGGGGGCAAGCGUUGUCCGGAUUUAUUGGGCGUAAAGAGCGUGUAGGCGGUUGUGUCAGUUUGCGGGGACAGUGGGUGGCUUAACUACCCAAGGGUCGCAAAGACGGCACGACUGGAGAGCGAGAGAGGGACCUGGAACUCCGGGUGGAGCGGUGAAAUGCGUAGAGAUCCGGAAGAACACCACUGGCGCAGGCAAGGUCCUGGCUCGUAUCUGACGCUGAGGUGCGAAAGCUAGGGGAGCGAACGGG
rnacentral:rRNA from 1 species